ensembl:lncRNA
AAAAAGGAGGUCUCAAAGUUGAGGCAGAGCGAGGGAGAGAGAGACCGAAAAUUAGCUAAUUUCCUCCCCUGUGUACUCUCCUCAGAUGAACCCUGCAGGAGUGGGCUAGCUCGCAUGCUACCAGCGGGCUACAGCUAGCGCUGCUCGCAGCGCCAGCAAGGGACUCCAAGCAAAUAAACAAAAUGGAGAUUCCUUCUAAGCAACGACCACCAGAUUGAAAGCCCGGCGAGGUUCAACCUGCCGCGCGCUCAACAUCAGGUUAACGCUGCGUGCCAUCAUGAACAUGGAUGAUGGUUACAUUUCGGAACCGUCUCUCUGGUCGGUCCCGGUUUCCGACCGGUUCUCGCUCUGCGGUUCGUCUGGCAGAGAGCCGUAGGCUACACUGUCGUCCGUUAUUUUGCUCUCAACAACAGCCUUGUUGAUAGGGCAUCUUCUGGUUGCUUGGCAGCCCAGCCCCGUCCCCCUCCCCCCUCUCGCCCACCUCUCCGUACCCCCAUCGCCAUGGGCACAGCCGGGCUGCGUCCCCCAACAUCCCUCCUGUUUCGCUCCCAUUCAGACGCCGUUUGGCAGCCCACACAAUGCCCAUUUUCUUGGCACUCGAUUGCGCGACGAAGGAGAGGGAGCCAUGGAGGGCGAGCGAGCCAAACAGAGAGAGCGAGAGACAGACCUCCGCCGUGAAACCCCCCCCCGCCGUGCCACCGUUCACACGGACCGAUGCCAACUGCCGUCCUUCACCCCCUCCGUCGAGACGCUCCCGCUCAUAAACCCCUUCCUCCUCCUCGUCGGAGCCCUUUGGAUAAUGCUUGCAACGGAUUUAUUAAUAUAGAAAUGUUUUUUUUUAUGACAUUCUGAAAGUUUUCGCGAUUUUAAACUUUGCAAACCGCCGCUGCUGUCUGGUGUCGUAACGGAAGUUUACCAGAAGGUAGAGCGUUGUGGUUCUGCGUGCUGAAGGGCACGGAUUUCCAACUGACUUUUUUUUACACAAGGGCAGCCAUUUUCUUUUCGCCGCCGACUUCCGUGGCAGCCUGGGAAAACACGGUUAAAGUCACGAGUCACGGGUCAGAGUAACAUCCAUGGACAUAUUGAAUGCAUAUCUCGGUAGCAUGCGGCGCUAUACGCAUGUGCGAAUCGUAGCUAUAAAAAAACACAUGGAUAUCAUCUAGAACAAUAUGUGACUGACAAUGCAUCCCUUUACUUUGCUUCAUUGAUCUUGUUUUUGUUCAUUUGUCUUUCCUUAUUUAUUGUUGUUACUGUUUAGCGAUGUAGAUAACUAUUUACGCUAUUUUUGGAAAAAGGUCAAAUAUGACAAAAGGCUCAAUUAUUUAUUGGUGUGACUGCAUGGUAGCGUCUUUUGCAUGACCUGAAACUAAUGUGAAUGGGUUAACUUAAAAACUUCACAACAGAUUUUGGGUUUUUAUCGUCGUGGCUGGCAAACAUUACUACAAGGUUAUACUGUAACUUUGUGGAUAGACCAAACUGCAGCACGUGUUUGUGGGUGUGUGUGUGUUUGUGUGUGUGUGUGUGUGUGUGUGUGUGUGUGUGUGUGUGUGUGUGUGUGUGUGUGUGUGUGUGUGUGUGUGUGUGUGUGUGUGUGUGUGUGUGUGUGUGUGUGUGUGUGAUUGUAUGUAUGUGUGUGUGUGUGUGUGUGUGCGCCUGGCCCCCAGAUAUGCUUAUCAAAGCCGCUCUACGUGGCCGGGUUCUUAUCAGUGACUAAUCCAACUGUUUUGAGGUUCUUGAGGUGUAGUCCGGCCCAACACCACAACGCACAAAGAUUGUUCGCAAUCAACGCAAACGUCUCUCGCUCAUAAGGCUCAGAGAAAUGCACUUAGUGUCGUGUUCCACCCCGGGUAGCCAGUGCAGAGAGAGUUUGAUAGCAUUUUCCUUCUAAUUAAUUCAACAUCUCUAUCAAGGCCUCCCUUGCCUUUUCAGUCAACCCCCCCCC